ensembl:snRNA U6 U6 spliceosomal RNA
GCAAUGCCUGCUUCAACAAUGCUUGUACUAAAGUUGCAGCCCUACAGAGAAGAUUAGCAUAGCUCCUGUGCAAGGAAGACAUGCCAAUUCUUGAAGCAUUCUAUGUUUGC